GCCCGCGCGCCGACCGCGUGCCCGCUGGGGGGCGGGCCCGGACCCCUGAGGCCCGGCCUGCGGGUGUCCCUGACCAGGGCGGGAGGAGGCCGCACCCGUCAGGUGCGUGUGUCGGCGCCUCAGGCUGUUUUGUAGUGUUUGCCAGUGCGACCCUUCCCGAGACCGCUCCUGGCUCUGGACGCAGGGUCGGGCCCGGCCGGAUCCUCAUUUCUGCUGGAGACGCUGACUCUGGGCUUGGCCCCGGGUCGAAGCAGGCUGGAGAGUUGCAAGCGUGCUUAACCGGUCUGCUGGGCUUCCCUCCCCUGAUCCAGCCCCUGGUCGACUUCCCUGCUCCCUUCCUGCUUCUAAUUUCAGCCAAAGGCAAAGUAAAGAAUCAGAAAAAAAAGGUUAGCUAGAAGAGAAGUCAUUCAUAACCAAAGUGAAAUUGAUCUUAAAUGAAACCCAUGUCCUCAUUCUUGUCAAUCUUCUAACCAAGACCAGCCUGUGGAUCCUCAAGUUGAAUACCCAAUUGAAUGUAAUAUAACCUCUGAAAUACUACAAAGAUGGUGUAGGUGGGCUGUACUUGGUGACUCAUUUUGAACAAACAGCAUGCGGUGGAUGUGACACUCCCUUGGCUUCUGAGGCUAGCAUGAAGCUGCUUAAGAAAAACAAAUGGAAUAUUCUGUUAUGUGAUCAUUAACUCAAUCUGCCUUCCAAGAAGUUGUCUUGCUUGAUAAAUAACAUGCAAUAAAUAAACUUAAUCGGAUUUUUUUAAAUGUC